CUGUGAUCUUAGCUAUGAAUUAGUUAUACUUGGACAUGGAACUCGUCUUCAUCUGUGUUUCUACAGAACAGGCAGAGCGCUGCAUCAGGGUCAAGGUUUU